rnacentral:rRNA from 1 species
UACGAGGGGAGCAAGCGUUGUUCGGAUUUACUGGGCGUAAAGGGCGCGUAGGCGGCCACGACAAGUCACUUGUGAAAUCUCCGGGCUUAACUCGGAACGGUCAAGUGAUACUGUCGGGCUAGAGUACAGAAGGGGCAACUGGAAUUCUCGGUGUAGCGGUGAAAUGCGUAGAUAUCGGGAGGAACACCAGUGGCGAAGGCGGCUUCCUGGCCUGUUCUUGACGCUGAGGCGCGAAAGCUAGGGUAGCAAACGGG